rnacentral:rRNA from 1 species
ACUCCUACGGGAGGCAGCAGUGGGGAAUAUUGCACAAUGGGCGCAAGCCUGAUGCAGCAACGCCGUGUGAGUGAAGAAGGUUUUCGGAUCGUAAAACUCUGUCCUAAGGGAAGAAACAAAUGACGGUACCUUAGGAGGAAGCCCCGGCUAACUACGUGCCAGCAGCCGCGGUAAUACGUAGGGGGCAAGCGUUAUCCGGAAUCACUGGGCGUAAAGGGUGCGUAGGCGGCUUAGCAAGCCAGGGGUGAAAGGCAUUGGCUCAACCAAUGUAAGCCUUUUGGAACUGUUAAGCUUGAGUGCAGGAGAGGUAAGUGGAAUUCCUAGUGUAGAGGUGAAAUUCGUAGAUAUUAGGAGGAACACCAGUGGCGAAGGCGACUUACUGGACUGUAACUGACGCUGAUGCACGAAAGCGUGGGUAGCGAACGAGG